AGAGUUUGAUCAUGGCUCAGAUUGAACGCUGGCGGCAUGCCUUACACAUGCAAGUCGAGCGGCAGCGCGGGGGCAACCCUGGCGGCGAGCGGCGUACGGGUGAGUAAUGCAUCGGAACGUGUCCUCUUGUGGGGGAUAACCAGUCGAAAGACUGGCUAAUACCGCAUGAGAUCGAGAGAUGAAAGCGGGGGACCGCAAGGCCUCGCGCGAGAGGAGCGGCCGAUGCCGGAUUAGCUAGUUGGCGGGGUAACGGCCCACCAAGGCGACGAUCCGUAGCUGGUCUGAGAGGACGACCAGCCACACUGGGACUGAGACACGGCCCAGACUCCUACGGGAGGCAGCAGUGGGGAAUUUUGGACAAUGGGGGCAACCCUGAUCCAGCCAUGCCGCGUGUGUGAAGAAGGCCUUCGGGUUGUAAAGCACUUUCGGACGGAACGAAAUCGCGCGGGCGAAUAUCCCGCGUGGAUGACGGUACCGUAAGAAGAAGCACCGGCUAACUACGUGCCAGCAGCCGCGGUAAUACGUAGGGUGCGAGCGUUAAUCGGAAUUACUGGGCGUAAAGUGUGCGCAGGCGGCCGAGCAAGUCGAGUGUGAAAGCCCCGGGCUUAACUUGGGAAUUGCGCUCGAAACUACUUGGCUGGAGUGUGGCAGAGGAAGGUGGAAUUCCACGUAGCGGUGAAAUGCGUAGAGAUGUGGAGGAACACCAAUGGCGAAGGCAGCCUUCUGGGCCAACACUGACGCUCAUGCACGAAAGCGUGGGGAGCAAACAGGAUUAGAUACCCUAGUAGUCC
rnacentral:rRNA from 1 species